UCUUUUAUAGUUUAAAAAAAAAUGUAAAUUUUGUAAAUUUAUGAUGCUUGUUGUGCUGAAAGAA
rnacentral:tRNA from 1 species